AUUGAACGCUGGCGGCAUGCUUUACACAUGCAAGUCGAACGGCCGCGCGGGCUUCUGCCUGGCCGCGAGUGACGAACGGGUGAGUAAUGCAUCGGAACGUGCCCAGUAGUUGGGGCUAGCCCGGCGAAAGCCGGAUUAAUACCGCAUACGACAUGAGGGUGAAAGCGGGGGACCGAAAGGCCUCGCGCUAUUUGCGCUGCCGAUGUCGGAUUAGCUAGUUGGUGGGGUAAAGGCUUACCAAGGCGACGAUCCGUAGCUGGUCUGAGAGGACGACCAGCCACACUGGGACUGAGACACGGCCCAGACUCCUACGGGAGGCAGCAGUGGGGAAUUUUGGACAAUGGGGGCAAGCCUGAUCCAGCCAUGCCGCGUGCGUGAAGAAGGCCUUCGGGUUGUAAACCGCUUUUGUUCGGGAAGAAAUCCUCUGGGCUAAUACCCCGGGGGGAUGACGGUACCGGAAGAGUAAGCACCGGCUAACUACGUG
rnacentral:rRNA from 1 species